GAGUAACACGUGAGUAAGAGACCCUGCCCCAGGCUUUGGGAUAACCCCGGGAAACCGGGGCUAAUACCGGAUAUGACCAUCUGUCGCAUGGUGGGUGGUGGAAAGAUUUUUUGGCUUGGGAUGGGCUCGCGGCCUAUCAGCUUGUUGGUGGGGUGAUGGCCUACCAAGGCGGCGACGGGUAGCCGGCCUGAGAGGGCGACCGGCCACACUGGGACUGAGACACGGCCCAGACUCCUACGGGAGGCAGCAGUGGGGAAUCUUGCACAAUGGGCGGAAGCCUGAUGCAGCGACGCCGCGGCUUGAGGGAUGACGGCCUUCGGGUUGUAAACCUCUUUCAGCAGGGACGAAGCGUUUGUGACGGUACCUGCAGAAGAAGCGCCGGCCAACUACGUGCCAGCAGCCGCGGUAAGACGUAGGGCGCAAGCGUUGUCCGGAUUUAUUGGGCGUAAAGAGCUCGUAGGCGGCUUGUCGCGUCGACUGUGAAAACCUGUGGCUCAACUGCGGGCUUGCAGUCGAUACGGGCAGGCUAAGGCGGGUCUCUGGGCCGAUACUGACGCUGAGGAGCGAAAGCGUGGGGAGCGAACAGGAUUAGAUACCCUGGUAGUCCACGCUGUAAACGUUGGGCGCUAGGUGUGGGGGGCCUCUCCGGUUCUCUGUGCCGCAGCUAACGCAUUAAGCGUGACGCUGAGGAGCGAAAGCGUGGGGAGCGAACAGGAUUAGAUACCCUGGUAGUCCACGCUGUAAACGUUGGGCGCUAGGUGUGGGGGGCCUCUCCGGUUCUCUGUGCCGCAGCUAACGCAUUAAGCGCCCCGCCUGGGGAGUACGGCCGCAAGGCUAAAAGCUCUCAAAGGAAUUGACGGGGGCCCGCACAAGCGGCGGAGCAUGCGGAUUAAUUCGAUGCAACGCGAAGAACCUUACCUGGGUUUGACAUCGCCGGAAAUCCUUCAGAGAUGGGGGGU
rnacentral:rRNA from 1 species